AUUGAACGCUGGCGGCAGGCUUAACACAUGCAAGUCGAGCGGAGAUGAGGUGCUUGCACCUUAUCUUAGCGGCGGACGGGUGAGUAAUGCUUAGGAAUCUGCCUAUUAGUGGGGGACAACAUGCCGAAAGUAAUGCUAAUACCGCAUACGUCCUACGGGAGAAAGCAGGGGAUCUUCGGACCUUGCGCUAAUAGAUGAGCCUAGGGUGGAUUAGCUAGUUGGUGGGGUAAAGGCCUACCAAGGCGGCGAUCGGUAGCGGGUCUGAGAGGAUGAUCCGCCACACUGGGACUGAGGCACGGCCCAGACUCCUACGGGAGGCAGCAGUGGGGAAUAUUGGACAAUGGGGGGAACCCUGAUCCAGCCAUGCCGCGUGUGUGAAGAAGGCCUUAUGGUUGUAAAGCACUUUAAGCGAGGAGGAGGCUACUGAGACUAAUACUCUUGGAUAGUGGACGUUACUCGCAGAAUAAGCACCGGCUAACUCUGUGCCAGCAGCCGCCGUAA
rnacentral:rRNA from 1 species